UGCCGUUGCAUUCCUCAGAAAACCAUUCUAACUCCCCGAUGAAAAUAAUAGAAUCGCCUCUCUCAUAGGCUGCCGUUUUGGGAUGUAGACGCUAGUGAGACGCUCAAAAGAACGCAUAUCUGUUCAGAGAGAAAAUGCGUUGUUUAGGUAGCAGUAGGUAGUAAAUUACAAUUAAGUGAUUCUGAAAAGAGCUAAAUAGAAAAUUUCUAAAAUGCCAGGAAAGCAUCGCUCUAAACCUAGAGAAACAAGGAGAGAGAAAAAAGCUCGUAUUUUUGCUCUGGUUAAAACUGCAAGUGAAGCUGAUGAUCUGAUGUGUAAAUUUCCACAUUUAGCAGUUUACAAAGAAUAUGGUUUAGAUUUAAAAAUCGAAUAUGUUAGCUCAAACAACUUAGAUAAGAAAUCAAUGGAUGAAGUAUUCUGUUUGUUGAAAUGUAACAUGAAACUUGCAUAUGAAGAAAGUGAUUGGGGAUGGAAUGAUACUGCCAAAAGAAAUGAACUUAGAGAUGAAAGUGCAAGAUAUUUACUUGCUAAGGAUGCUAAUGGAAAAAUUAUUGGCUUUUCCCACUUCAGAUUUGAUAUUGAAGAAAGUUAUCCAAUUCUAUAUUGUUAUGAAUUGCAGAUUGACCCUGAAUUUCAAAGAAAAGGUCUUGGACAACAUAUAAUGAAUGUGUUAUUCUUAAUAGCUCAUAAUUUCAAACUAGUCAAGAUUGUUCUGACAGUCUUCAAGCAUAAUAUUGCCGGACUUAAUUUUUAUACAAAAUCAAUGGCAUUUCGACAUGAUGAAACAUGCCCAAAAGAAGAAGAAGGAAAAUGCUAUGUCAUUCUUAGCAAAUUUGUGGACAUGAAUGAAAUUAAUCAUUAAAGUAUCCAUUAAAUAUCACCUGAUGCAUUUUGAUGUGCUAUCAUAUUGCCAUUUACUUAUUUUGUAACUACUUCACUUUUGUUUAUUAAAUGACUCUUUAGUUGCAAAGAGUAUCAUCCUGAUUUUCAAAAUUUUUCUUCUUUCCUAUAAUGAAGUUUUAAAAGUGUUUGAACUGCAGAUACAAGAUAGACACAAUUUCUUCAGAAAAUCGUUUUAUGGGAAAAGCAUCAUCAUAUAUUCAAAUCAAUACAGUAUUAAUGUAAUAAAUAUAAGCUACUGAUAAUAUCUGAAAAUUUAAAUAUGCUUAUAAAGCUGGUAUGUUAAAAAC